rnacentral:lncRNA from 1 species
CUUUGAUGCUUGCGGUCCUUGAAGAGUAUCAUCUGUUUUUGGUAACUGCUGACUUGAGAAGGUGGCAGUGUAUGAUUACAUCUGGAAGGACCAUGCCAGCAAGUCUGGUGUCCCCAUCUGUGACCUCCAGCACCAGGAUGGAAUCUUUGACUCGGCAGCUACCUCAAGAGGUACCACUGUUCACAUGUCGGUGUUCACCGUACACCUCAGCGGUUUCCAGCAACUCUACAGACACUUCCUCAGGCUGCCUGAUGGGGCUAUUGUUGAGGCAUUUGGUGAUAUUACUGGAAUAA